rnacentral:lncRNA from 1 species
UAAAAUAGAAAAAAAUAGAUAGAGAUAAAAAAUAAGAAUAAAUAAAUAUACAAAAAAUAAAGAAAAAUAACAAAAAAUAAAGGAAUUGAAAAAUAAAGAGAAAAUAAAAAUAAAAAAGCAAAAACAAAAGAAACCAAUAAAGGAAAAAACAGAAUAAUAAAAGUAGAAACAAAGAGACAGAGAAAAAAAUUAAAUGAAUUGAGAAAUAAACAAGAAAAGAA